rnacentral:rRNA from 1 species
AUAAACGCUAGCGGCAGGCCUAACACAUGCAAGUCGAGGGGCAGCGGGUGGAGUAUUUCGGUACUCCUGCCGGCGACCGGCGCACGGGUGCGUAACGCGUAUGCAACCUACCUUUAACAGGGGGAUAAUCCGAAGAAAUUUGGUCUAAUACCCCAUAAUAUCAUUUAAGGCAUCUUAGAUGGUUGAAAAUUCCGAUGGUUAGAGAUGGGCAUGCGUUGUAUUAGCUAGUUGGUGAGGUAACGGCUCACCAAGGCUACGAUACAUAGGGGGACUGAGAGGUUUUCCCCCCACACUGGUACUGAGACACGGACCAGACUCCUACGGGAGGCAGCAGUGAGGAAUAUUGGUCAAUGGACGCAAGUCUGAACCAGCCAUGCCGCGUGCAGGAUGAAGGUGCUAUGCAUUGUAAACUGCUUUUGUACGAGGGUAAAUGCAGGUACGUGUACCUGUUUGAAAGUAUCGUACGAAUAAGGGUCGGCUAACUCCGUGCCAGCAGCCGCGGUAAUACGGAGGACCCGAGCGUUAUCCGGAUUUAUUGGGUUUAAAGGGUGCGUAGGCGGAUUAGUAAGUUAGAGGUGAAAGCUCGAUGCUCAACAUCGAAAUUGCCUCUGAUACUGUUAGUCUAGAGUAUAGUUGCGGAAGGCGGAAUGUGUGGUGUAGCGGUGAAAUGCUUAGAUAUCACACAGAACACCGAUUGCGAAGGCAGCUUUCCAAGCUAUUACUGACGCUGAUGCACGAAAGCGUGGGGAGCGAACAGGAUUAGAUACCCUGGUAGUCCACGCCGUAAACGAUGUCGACUUGGAGGUUGUGCCCUUGAGGCGUGGCUUCCGGAGCUAACGCGUUAAGUCGACCGCCUGGGGAGUACGGCCGCAAGGUUGAAACUCAAAGGAAUUGACGGGGGCCCGCACAAGCGGAGGAACAUGUGGUUUAAUUCGAUGAUACGCGAGGAACCUUACCCGGGCUUGAAAGUUAGCGACGGAUCCUGAAAGGGGUCUUCUCUUCGGAGCGCGAAACUAGGUGCUGCAUGGUUGUCGUCAGCUCGUGCCGUGAGGUGUCGGGUUAAGUCCCAUAACGAGCGCAACCCCUACUGUUAGUUACCAGCACGUCAAGGUGGGCACUCUAGCAGGACUGCCGGUGUAAGCCGAGAGGAAGGUGGGGAUGACGUCAAAUCAGCACGGCCCUUACGUCCGGGGCGACACACGUGUUACAAUGGUCGGUACAGAGGGUCGCUACCCCGUGAGGGGAUGCCAAUCUCGAAAGCCGGUCUCAGUUCGGAUUGGAGGCUGAAACUCGCCUCCAUGAAGUUGGAUUCGCUAGUAAUCGCGCAUCAGCCAUGGCGCGGUGAAUACGUUCCCGGGCCUUGUACACACCGCCCGUCAAGCCAUGGGAGUUGGGGGUGCCUGAAGUACGUGACCGCAAGGAGCGUCCUAGGGCAAAACCGAUGACUGGGGCU